CUGCAAGCAAAUACCUACAUAGGUGGUACUGGAAUACGUUCAUCUCACAAGAACGACUUAAUCAAAUAAGUAAAGUGAAUGCCCAAACAUAAACUUAGACAAAAUCAAGCUUUCAUUAUGCAUAGAAAGAUAUUGCAUAGACACGCCACUACAGCCAAGGAAACGAUCAAGAAGAACACACGGCACAAAAUCAUUCACAUAUCAGAUGUGCUACAGAAAGGAAGGGAAUACCCCAUAGCUUUUAUACAAUGGAUAUCCCCACACUUCCUAAUCCAACCCAAACUUAAAUCUUUCAAGAGCACAAUUAGAAACAUUGGGUUUAACAAUACCACUGAGAUUGUAAUCUCAUUCAGAUUUACUAGAGGUCGAGUCAGUGGCACCUUCUUUCUUCGUUGCAGCAGAUUCAACCUGUUUAUAUGCCUUUGAGAUUUCUUCAACAGGUAUCAAAGGGAUAUAGCUGACAACACUAUAACCCUUCUCUUGCAAGUUAGCUACCAAAUGAUUGUACUUUUCGGACCAGUGAGCAACUGUAGGAGCAGCCAUCUGUGCGAUUCCGUGCAAUGGUGGACAAUGAUUGACAUGAUACCAGAGUACUGCCACUUGCGUAGUACCAAAUUGCUUAGACAAUUCACCAGCAUGAUAGAUAGCUGCACGAGGACCUCCCUCCUGUAUGUCUUUGGACAAGCCUUGUGCUACCUCUGAUGCCUUCUGAAACAAAGACUGGACACUGCUGACAACCUUCUUGGCCAAUGGAGGAGCAUGUUCAUCAAAUUUUGCUGUUCCAUCAUCCAACUUUUUGUCUAGGAAAACAAGGACUUCAUCAGGAACACCUUUAAAUCUAUCGUAAACAGGCCUUACGACGGUGGUUACAGCGUUUUCUACUGUACCAACAGUUGAUCUCAGAGGCCCCGAGUUCUGCUUCGCAUAAUCAUACAAAUUUGACAACAAAACUGCAGUGUUUAGAGCCAACACCCUUACAAACCCUAGAUGUUUCAAAUUAACCUCGCAUUUCUCCAUCUCAACCUUGUUGGUAGACAUAUUCUGCUGGUUGUAUGGAAGUUUGAUUUGCUCAGCUGUUGGUGAUGCAAAUGAGAAAAUUUGUUGGGUGAUAAAGGAAGUGGGGGAAUAUUUAAUUAAAAUCAAAGGGCUGUGAAGAUGACACGUGUCG
rnacentral:misc_RNA from 1 species